rnacentral:rRNA from 1 species
GGGCGCACGGUGGAUGCCUUGACACUAGGAGUCGAUGAAGGACGGGACUAACGCCGAUAUGCUUCGGGGAGCUGUAAGUAAGCUUUGAUCCGAAGAUUUCCGAAUGGGGAAACCCACCAUACGUAAUGGUAUGGUAUCCUUAUCUGAAUACAUAGGGUAAGGAAGACAGACCCAGGGAACUGAAACAUCUAAGUACCUGGAGGAAGAGAAAGCAAAUGCGAUUUCCUGAGUAGCGGCGAGCGAAACGGAACAUAGCCCAAACCAAGAGGCUUGCCUCUUGGGGUUGUAGGACAUUCUAUACGGAGUUACAAAGGAACGAGGUAGACGAAGCGACCUGGAAAGGUCCGUCGUAGAGGGUAACAACCCCGUAGUCGAAACUUCGUUCUCUCUUGAAUGUAUCCUGAGUACGGCGGAACACGUGAAAUUCCGUCGGAAUCUGGGAGGACCAUCUCCCAAGGCUAAAUACUCCCUAGUGAUCGAUAGUGAACCAGUACCGUGAGGGAAAGGUGAAAAGCACCCCGGAAGGGGAGUGAAAGAGAUCCUGAAACCGUGUGCCUACAAAUAGUCAGAGCCCGUUAACGGGUGAUGGCGUGCCUUUUGUAGAAUGAACCGGCGAGUUACGAUCCCGUGCAAGGUUAAGCUGAAGAGGCGGAGCCGCAGCGAAAGCGAGUCUGAAUAGGGCGUUUAGUACGUGGUCGUAGACCCGAAACCAGGUGAUCUACCCAUGUCCAGGGUGAAGUUCAGGUAACACUGAAUGGAGGCCCGAACCCACGCACGUUGAAAAGUGCGGGGAUGAGGUGUGGGUAGCGGAGAAAUUCCAAUCGAACCUGGAGAUAGCUGGUUCUCCCCGAAAUAGCUUUAGGGCUAGCCUUAAGUGUAAGAGUCUUGGAGGUAGAGCACUGAUUGGACUAGGGGUCCUCAUCGGAUUACCGAAUUCAGUCAAACUCCGAAUGCCAAUGACUUAUCCUUAGGAGUCAGACUGCGAGUGAUAAGAUCCGUAGUCAAAAGGGAAACAGCCCAGACCGCCAGCUAAGGUCCCAAAGUGUGUAUUAAGUGGAAAAGGAUGUGGAGUUGCUUAGACAACUAGGAUGUUGGCUUAGAAGCAGCCACCAUUUAAAGAGUGCGUAAUAGCUCACUAGUCGAGUGACUCUGCGCCGAAAAUGUACCGGGGCUAAAUACACCACCGAAGCUGCGGAUUGAUACCAAUGGUAUCAGUGGUAGGGGAGCGUUCUAAGGACAGUGAAGUCAGACCGGAAGGACUGGUGGAGUGCUUAGAAGUGAGAAUGCCGGUAUGAGUAGCGAAAGACGGGUGAGAAUCCCGUCCACCGAAUGCCUAAGGUUUCCUGAGGAAGGCUCGUCCGCUCAGGGUUAGUCAGGACCUAAGCCGAGGCCGACAGGCGUAGGCGAUGGACAACAGGUUGAUAUUCCUGUACCACCUCUUUAUCGUUUGAGCAAUGGAGGGACGCAGAAGGAUAGAAGAAGCGUGCGAUUGGUUGUGCACGUCCAAGCAGUUAGGCUGAUAAGUAGGCAAAUCCGCUUAUCGUGAAGGCUGAGCUGUGAUGGGGAAGCUCCUUAUGGAGCGAAGUCUUUGAUUCCCCGCUGCCAAGAAAAGCUUCUAGCGAGAUAAAAGGUGCCUGUACCGCAAACCGACACAGGUAGGCGAGGAGAGAAUCCUAAGGUGUGCGAGAGAACUCUGGUUAAGGAACUCGGCAAAAUGACCCCGUAACUUCGGGAGAAGGGGUGCUUUCUUAACGGAAAGCCGCAGUGAAUAGGCCCAAGCGACUGUUUAGCAAAAACACAGCUCUCUGCGAAGCCGUAAGGCGAAGUAUAGGGGGUGACACCUGCCCGGUGCUGGAAGGUUAAGGAGAGGGGUUAGCGUAAGCGAAGCUCUGAACUGAAGCCCCAGUAAACGGCGGCCGUAACUAUAACGGUCCUAAGGUAGCGAAAUUCCUUGUCGGGUAAGUUCCGACCCGCACGAAAGGUGUAACGAUUUGGGCACUGUCUCAACCAGAGACUCGGUGAAAUUAUAGUACCUGUGAAGAUGCAGGUUACCCGCGACAGGACGGAAAGACCCCGUGGAGCUUUACUGUAGCCUGAUAUUGAAUUUUGGUACAGUUUGUACAGGAUAGGCGGGAGCCUUUGAAACCGGAGCGCUAGCUUCGGUGGAGGCGCUGGUGGGAUACCGCCCUGACUGUAUUGAAAUUCUAACCUACGGGUCUUAUCGACCCGGGAGACAGUGUCAGGUGGGCAGUUUGACUGGGGCGGUCGCCUCCUAAAGUGUAACGGAGGCGCCCAAAGGUUCCCUCAGAAUGGUUGGAAAUCAUUCGUAGAGUGCAAAGGCAUAAGGGAGCUUGACUGCGAGACCUACAAGUCGAGCAGGGACGAAAGUCGGGCUUAGUGAUCCGGUGGUUCCGCAUGGAAGGGCCAUCGCUCAACGGAUAAAAGCUACCCCGGGGAUAACAGGCUUAUCUCCCCCAAGAGUCCACAUCGACGGGGAGGUUUGGCACCUCGAUGUCGGCUCAUCGCAUCCUGGGGCUGUAGUCGGUCCCAAGGGUUGGGCUGUUCGCCCAUUAAAGCGGUACGCGAGCUGGGUUCAGAACGUCGUGAGACAGUUCGGUCCCUAUCCGUCGUGGGCGUAGGAAAUUUGAGAGGAGCUGUCCUUAGUACGAGAGGACCGGGAUGGACGCACCGCUGGUGUACCAGUUGUUCUGCCAAGGGCAUAGCUGGGUAGCUAUGUGCGGAAGGGAUAAGUGCUGAAAGCAUCUAAGCAUGAAGCCCCCCUCAAGAUGAGAUUUCCCAUAGCGUAAGCUAGUAAGAUCCCUGAAAGAUGAUCAGGUUGAUAGGUUCGAGGUGGAAGCAUGGUGACAUGUGGAGCUGACGAAUACUAAUAGAUCGAGGACUUAACCAUAUA